rnacentral:misc_RNA from 1 species
UUUCCGUAGGUGAACCUGCGGAAGGAUCAUUAGUGAAUAAACAAGUGCAGGUUGUGCUGGCCUUCUUGGUAUGUGCACGCCUGCCAAAGUUUCAUUCCAUCUUCCCACCUGUGCACUCUGUGUAGAUUCUGUAUGCUGUUUUCAAGCCUUUAUUGUGCUUGGUUGAGAGGAGUUGCUUGUUUUCACAAACAAGCUCUUCUUGGGCAUGCAGGUCUAUGUUUAUAUCAACACCAUAUGAAUGUUUUAGAAUGUGUAUUAGGCUUUUGGCCUUUAAAUUAAAUACAACUUUCAACAACGGAUCUCUUGGCUCUC